rnacentral:rRNA from 1 species
CCUACGGGUGGCUGCAGUGGGGAAUAUUGCACAAUGGGGGGAACCCUGAUGCAGCAACACCGCGUGGGUGAAGAAGUACUCCGGUAUGUAAAGCCCUGUCAGCAGGGAAGAAAAUGACGGUACCUGACCAAGAAGCCCCGGCUAACUACGUGCCAGCAGCCGCGGUAAUACGUAGGAUGCGAGCGUUAUCCGGAUUUAUUGGGUUUAAAGGGUGCGUAGGCGGAUUUUUAAGUCAGCGGUAAAAUGUCCGGGCUCAACCCGGGCCGGCCGUUUAAACUGGGGAUCUUGAGUGGGCGAGAAGUAUGCGGAAUGCGUGGUGUAGCGGUGAAAUGCAUAGAUAUCACGCAGAACUCCGAUUGCGAAGGCAGCAUACCGGCGCCCGACUGACGCUGAGGCACGAAAGCGUGGGGAUCGAACAGGAUUAGAUACCCGAGUAGUC